CUUCCAUCUUUGUAUUAGAGUGAUAAGUCAGUGAUAAAGGGAUUUACAGUGAUAUUGUUUAUUCUCCAGGUCUUCAGGUGAAGGUGACUGGUGGACAUCAGGAUAAGACACUGACCUGUAUCACCAGCUGUACUCUGACUGACAACCCCACCUACAUCUGGUACAAGAAUGGACAACAUCUAGAUGAGAGCACCUCCCCCCAGUACAAAGACUCAGUCUCCAGUAACUAUGAAGACAGUUACUCCUGUGCUGUAAAAGGCCAUGAGGAUCUCCACUCUCCUGCAGUGUGUGUUCAGGGUCAGAGCUGCAACAGAGUGACUUACACCAAGAGGAGAAUCUGUGUCUUGAAGGGGUCAACAGUGGACAUAUCCUGUACUUAUUUUGGUUAUUAUUACACCACAUCAACAUUCUGGUUUAGAAGUGAUAAGUCGACCCCUGAUGACCUAACCACAGACCCAGGGUAUGCAGGUCGUGUGAAGUACACUGGAACAUACGAAGGUCCCUUCACCCUGAGAAUCACAGAUCUGAGAGAGGAGGACUCAGAUGAGUAUCGCUUCACGUUUAAAAUUCACAACUUUGAAUGGGGUCAUAGUUUCCCAGGAACAAUUCUGACUGUCACAGGUAAUACUACACUGUAUGAUACAACUGUAAAUCAUAAUGAAUUACAGGAUAAAUAAAUUAACCAUCCUGUUAACACAGAGGUGUAUGUGGUUUUAUACAUAUUGUUUCAGGUCUGCAGGUGAAGGUGACUCCUGCUGCAGAGGGACAGAAGACACUGACCUGUAGCACCACAUGUACUCUGACUGACAACUCCACCUAUAUCUGGUACAAGAACGGACAACGUCUUGAUGAGCCCACUUCCCAACAAUACUCUAGUAAUACCCUAGUAGUGUUGGGUCAUUCUGUGGACAGUUACUCCUGUGCUGUAGAACACCAUGAGGCCCUCCACUCUCCUGCAGUGUAUGCUCCAAAGAACACCUCAGUGUCAGUC